UUAAGUGAAGCUCAGACGAAGCGUUUAACUGUUAAUUAAAAGGCCACAUAGUAAUGUCACUUAAA
rnacentral:tRNA from 1 species